CCUACGGGAGGCAGCAGUGGGGAAUUUUGGACAAUGGGCGCAAGCCUGAUCCAGCAAUGCCGCGUGAGUGAAGAAGGCCUUCGGGUUGUAAAGCUCUUUUGUCAGGGAAGAAACGGCUGAGGUUAAUACCUUCGGCUAAUGACGGUACCUGAAGAAUAAGCACCGGCUAACUACGUGCCAGCAGCCGCGGUAAUACGUAGGGUGCAAGCGUUAAUCGGAAUUACUGGGCGUAAAGCGUGCGCAGGCGGUUUUGUAAGUCUGACGUGAAAUCCCCGGGCUCAACCUGGGAAUUGCGUUGGAGACUGCAAGGCUGGAGUCUGGCAGAGGGGGGUAGAAUUCCACGUGUAGCAGUGAAAUGCGUAGAGAUGUGGAGGAACACCGAUGGCGAAGGCAGCCCCCUGGGUCAAGACUGACGCUCAUGCACGAAAGCGUGGGGAGCAAACAGGAUUAGAUACCCUGGUAGUCCACGCCCUAAACGAUGUCUACUAGUUGUCGGGUCUUAAUUGACUUGGUAACGCAGCUAACGCGUGAAGUAGACCGCCUGGGGAGUACGGUCGCAAGAUUAAAACUCAAAAUGAAUUGACGG
rnacentral:rRNA from 1 species